rnacentral:rRNA from 1 species
AGCGAACGCUGGCGGCAGGCUUAACACAUACAAGUCGAGCGGGCAUCUUCGGGUGUCAGCGGCGGACGGGUGAGUAACGCGUGGGAACGUGCCUUCUGGUUCGGAAUAACUCAGGGAAACUUGAGCUAAUACCGGAUACGCCCUUUUGGGGAAAGGUUUACUGCCGGAAGAUCGGCCCGCGUCUGAUUAGCUAGUUGGUGGGGUAACGGCCUACCAAGGCGACGAUCAGUAGCUGGUCUGAGAGGAUGAUCAGCCACACUGGGACUGAGACGCGGCCCAGACUCCUACGGGAGGCAGCAGUGGGGAAUAUUGGACAAUGGGGGCAACCCUGAUCCAGCCAUGCCGCGUGAGUGAUGAAGGCCUUAGGGUUGUAAAGCUCUUUUAUCCGGGACGAUAAUGACGGUACCGGAGGAAUAAGCCCCGGCUAACUUCGUGCCAGCAGCCGCAGUAA